UCAAGCGAAUAAGCGCACACGGUGGAUGCCUUGGCGGUCAGAGGCGAUGAAGGACGUGGCAGCCUGCGAAAAGUAUCGGGGAGCUGGCAACAAGCUUUGAUCCGGUAAUGUCCGAAUGGGGAAACCCACCGCUCCGGCGGUAUCCUGCAGUGAAUACAUAGCUGCUGGAAGCGAACCUGGUGAACUGAAAUAUCUAAGUAACCAGAGGAAAAGAAAUCAACCGAGAUUCCCUGAGUAGCGACGAGCGAACGGGGAACAGCCCUUAAGCUGGUAUGGUUCUAGAAAAACGGUCUGGAAAGGCCGGCCAUAGAAGGUGAUAGCCCUGUAUUUGAAAGGGCCAUUCCAGUGAAGACGAGUAGGGCGGGGCACGUGAAACCCUGUCUGAACAUGGGGGGACCAUCCUCCAAGGCUAAAUACUACUGACCGACCGAUAGUGAACCAGUACCGUGAGGGAAAGGCGAAAAGAACCCCGGAGAGGGGAGUGAAAUAGAACCUGAAACCGUGUGCGUACAAGCAGUAGGAGCUCGAAAGAGUGACUGCGUACCUUUUGUAUAAUGGGUCAGCGACUUACUGUUCGUGGCAAGCUUAACCGUAUAGGGGAGGCGAAGGGAAACCGAGUCUGAUAAGGGCGCAUAGUCGCGGGCAGUAGACCCGAAACCGGGUGAUCUAGUCAUGCCCAGGGUGAAGGUGCGGUAACACGCACUGGAGGCCCGAACCCACUCCCGUUGCAAAGGUAGGGGAUGAGGUGUGAUUAGGAGUGAAAAGCUAAUCGAACCCGGAGAUAGCUGGUUCUCCUCGAAAGCUAUUUAGGUAGCGCCUCAUAUGUAUCCUCUCGGGGGUAGAGCACUGUUAUGGCUAGGGGGUCAUCGCGACUUACCAAACCAUUGCAAACUCCGAAUACCGAGACGGACUGUAUGGGAGACACACGGCGGGUGCUAACGUCCGUCGUGAAAAGGGAAACAACCCAGACCCACAGCUAAGGUCCCAAAUUUUGUGCUAAGUGGAAAACCAUGUGGAAAGGCACAGACAGCCAGGAGGUUGGCUUAGAAGCAGCCACCCUUUAAAGAAAGCGUAAUAGCUCACUGGUCGAGUCGGUCUGCGGGGAAGAUUUAACGGGGCUAAGCACAGAACCGAAGCUUGGGGUGCAUAACUUUGUUAUGCGCGGUAGAGGAGCGUUCCGUAAGCCUGCGAAGGUGGAUUGAGAAGUCUGCUGGAGGUAUCGGAAGUGCGAAUGCUGACAUGAGUAACGAUAAUGCGGGUGAAAAACCCGCACGCCGAAAGCCCAAGGUUUCCUUGCGCAACGUUAAUCGGCGCAGGGUGAGUCGGCCCCUAAGGCGAGGCAGAAAUGCGUAGUCGAUGGGAAGCAGGUUAAUAUUCCUGCACCUCGCGUAAGUGCGAUGGAGGGACGGAGAAGGUUAGGUGUACCAGGCGUUGGUUGUCCUGGGGAAAGGCGGUAGGUUUGGAUCUUUGGCAAAUCCGGGAUCCUUUAAGACCGAGCACCGAGACGAGUCUUUAAGACGAAGUCACUGAUACCACGCUUCCAGGAAAAGCUCCUAAGCUUCAGCUUACGCAGACCGUACCGUAAACCGACACAGGUGGGUAGGAUGAGAAUUCUCAGGCGCUUGAGAGAACUCGGGUGAAGGAACUAGGCAACAUGGCACCGUAACUUCGGGAGAAGGUGCACCAUUGCCGGUGGCCCAUGCGGGCUAUAGCUGGUGAUGGUCGAAGUGACCAGGCCGCUGCGACUGUUUAUCAAAAACACAGCACUCUGCAAACACGAAAGUGGACGUAUAGGGUGUGACGCCUGCCCGGUGCUGGAAGGUUAAUUGAUGGGGUCAGCCGCAAGGCGAAGCUCUUGAUCGAAGCCCCAGUAAACGGCGGCCGUAACUAUAACGGUCCUAAGGUAGCGAAAUUCCUUGUCGGGUAAGUUCCGACCUGCACGAAUGGCGUAACGACAGCGGCGCUGUCUCCACCCGAGACUCAGUGAAAUUGAAAUCGCUGUGAAGAUGCAG
rnacentral:rRNA from 1 species